rnacentral:rRNA from 1 species
GAGUUUGAUCAUGGCUCAGAACGUACGCUGGCGGCACGCCUAACACAUGCAAGUCGAACGAAGUAGCAAUACUUAGUGGCAGACGGGUGAGUAACAUGUAGGUAUCUACCCUUUGGCCUGGAAUAACACGAGGAAACUUGUGCUAAUACCGGAUAAGUCUUUACGGAGAAAGCUUUAUGCACCAUUGGAUGAGCCUGCACUUGAUUAGUUUGUUGGUAGGGUAAUGGCCUACCAAGACUGUGAUCAAUAGCUGAUUUGAGAGGAUGAUCAGCCACAUUGGGACUGAGACACGGCCCAAACUCCUACGGGAGGCAGCAGUGGGGAAUCUUGCACAAUGGAGGAAACUCUGAUGCAGCGAUGCCGCGUGAGUGAAGAAGGCCCUUGGGUUGUAAAGCUCUUUCGUCGGGGAAGAAAAUGACUGUACCCGAAUAAGAAGGUCCGGCUAACUUCGUGCUAGCAGCCGCGGUAAUACGAAGGGACCUAGCGUAGUUCGGAAUUACUGGGCUUAAAGAGUUCGUAGGUGGUUGAAAAAGUUGGUGGUGAAAUCCCAGAGCUUAACUCUGGAACUGCCAUCAAAACUUUUCAGCUAGAGUUUGAUAGAGGAAAGCAGAAUUUCUAGUGUAGAGGUGAAAUUCGUAGAUAUUAGAAAGAAUACCAAUUGCGAAGGCGGCUUUCUGGACCAUUACUGACACUGAGGAACGAAAGCAUGGGUAGCGAAGAGGAUUAGAUACCCUCGUAGUCCAUGCCGUAAACGAUGUGUGUUAGACGUUGGAAAUUUAUUUUCAGUGUCGCAGCGAAAGCGAUAAACACACCGCCUGGGGAGUACGACCGCGAGGUUAAAACUCAAAUGAAUUGACGGGGACCCGCACAAGUAGUGGAGCAUGUGGUUUAAUUCGAAGAUACGCGCAGAACCUUACCAACACUUGACAUGUUCGUCGCGACUUUAAGAGAUUAAAGUUUUCGGUUCGGCCGGACGAAACACAGGUGCUGCAUGGCUGUCGUCAGCUCGUGUCGUGAGAUGUUGGGUUAAGUCCCGCAACGAGCGCAACCCUCACUUUUAGUUGCCAUCAUUUAGUUGGGCACUCUGAAAGAACUGCCAGUGAUAAGCUGGAGGAAGGUGGGGAUGACGUCAAGUCCUCAUGGCCCUUACGUGUUGGGCUACACACGUGCUACAAUGGUAUCUACAACAGGAAGCAAGACGGCGACGUUUAGCAAAUCCUUAAAAGAUACCUCAGUUCGGAUUGCACUCUGCAACUCGAGUGCAUGAAGCUGGAAUUACUAGUAAUCGUGGAUCAGCGUGCCACGGUGAAUGCGUUCCCGGGUCUUGUACACACCGCCCGUCACACCAUGGGAGUUGGUUCUACCUUAAGGCAAGGUUUCAAACCCUUGACCACGGUAUAGUCAGCGACUGGGGUGAAGUCGUAACAAGGUAACC